GCCGGCGGGUUACGCUCCUCUUCGCCAGGUUGGGGGUGUGGGUGCCCAGGGCGGUCCCCGGAGAGCGGAGUCGUGAACUGAGGCAGAACCCCGGGACAGCCCUGCCUUGCUGUCUUUGCAGUUUUUCCCUUUAAGCGGAAGCAAGGAAGGAUUCAUUAGAUCUUUCCACUUUAAGCUCUGUGGUCGCAGAAAACAAACCCCUGCGAAAAACCUGAGGGAGUAUUUGUGCCAUUUACAGCCGGAUUCACGUAGCCAUUCCCAAAAUUGACUGCGCUGGUGGAAGAGUGGUCAUGGCCUUCCGCUAAAAGUGAUUUUAGACCCUUACACAAAAUGUCCUUUUUAAAACUAUUUUUCAUCUUAUUGAUGCUAGUUCAGAUAUUUCUGGGGGAAAAAAGUCUGUAAUUCAAACGUGGCAAAAAACGUGACUGAGCCAAAUGUCAACGAUUUAACUUUGUAUGAUAGUUUGCUUCAUAUCCUGGACCCUCUUAGUCGUGCGAUUUGGGGUAAAUUACUCACUUUGUGCUUACGUGCCGGCAUCUGUAAAGUAGUUAUUAGGAAGCUACUUCUGUCUGAAGGUGGUUUGGAUAGUGUGAGGACAGGAUACUCAGAGCUUCCAGUGGAUUUCUCUGCAUUUACUGCUGAUAAGCAACGAUAAAAAUUGGGUAAAGUUCUCUUCUUAGGGGCUGAUUUUGCGUAGUUAUAACACAUGGUUACUCUUUUCUCUUCAAAAGGGACUUGCUCCACGAAUAAUCAGUCUAGACUUUAAAGACGUUUAGAAUUGCAUGCUCGACAGGUAGCUUCUGUACCAGGUUCACCUCAAUGAACUCCUUCCAACAGACGGUGGCUUACACUUUAUCCCUUAAACGUUAGCUGCGAUCCAGCGUACCCUGGAUUGGAAGAGUGAAGAUGGGGGCUAAAGGUUGAGGCUGAGUCUUCUGGCCCGGUGUAUCUGACAGACAUAUUUGCAAGGCAGGAGUUACGAAGGACUUGCCUACUGGAUCUUGGCAGAGCUAGGCAGUUACUUCUGCCUGUGUUCAAGUAUUGUCCAUUUUGGAGAGCAUUCUGUCAGCAGAUGAAGUUAGGGCAUUUUCUUUGCCUGGUGGCUUAGCCUGUCACAAAUGAAGCCAUCUCCAAAUGGGGGUCCUUUGAUGCGCAUCAUCUUUCAAGUUGAGCGGGGCGCUGUCUGGAGCUGUCAUGUGUCUAUGUCAAAAAACCCUCACAUCAAUAAAAGCACCUUUAAAUGCCA
rnacentral:sRNA from 1 species